rnacentral:misc_RNA from 1 species
GAUGAAGAACGCAGCGAAAUGCGAUAAGUAAUGUGAAUUGCAGAAUUCAGUGAAUCAUCGAAUCUUUGAACGCACCUUGCACUCCUUGGUAUUCCGAGGAGUACGCCUGUUCGAGUGUUAUGAAGCUCUCAAAACGCAAUUGGCUUAAAACCUGAUUGUUGUUUUGGAUUUGAACUUUGCCGUGUUAUAACGGCUGGUUUUAAAAGUAUUAGCUGGUACUAGAACGAAUUGGUUCUACUCAACGUGAUAAUUAUCUGAUCGUUGAGGACAUUCCUUUCACGAGGAAUGGCCAUAGUUAAUUCAAUGGACUGCUUCUAAUCUGGCUUUAAUUCUUUAUUGGAUUAACCACUUUUCAAAUCUGACCUCGAAUCAGGUGGGACUACCCGCUGAACUUAAGCAUAUCAAUAAGCGGAGGA